AUAUUGCGCAAUGGGCGAAAGCCUGACGCAGCGACGCCGCGUGGGUGAUGAAGGCCUUCGGGUCGUAAAGCCCUGUCGAGGGGAACGAAACGGUCUCGACCUAACACGUCGAGUCCCUGACGGUACCCCUACAGGAAGCAACGGCUAACUACGUGCCAGCAGCCGCGGUGAUACGUAGGUUGCGAGCGUUGUCCGGAAUCACUGGGCGUAAAGCGCACGCAGGCGGCCUCGAAAGCCCAUGGUGAAAGCCCUCGGCCCAACCGAGGGAUGCCCAUGGGAACUCCGGGGCUCAGAAGACGGGAGAGGCGGAUGGAAUUUCCGGUGUAGCGGUAAAAUGCGUAGAUACCGGAAGGAACACCAGUGGCGAAAGCGAUCCGCUGGCCCGCUCUUGACGCUCAGGUGCGAAAGCUAGGGUAGCGACC
rnacentral:rRNA from 1 species